rnacentral:rRNA from 1 species
UACGAAGGGGGCUAGCGUUGCUCGGAAUUACUGGGCGUAAAGCGCACGUAGGCGGCUUGUUAAGUCGGGGGUGAAAUCCUGGAGCUCAACUCCAGAACUGCCUUCGAUACUGGCGAGCUCGAGUUCGGGAGAGGUGAGUGGAACUGCGAGUGUAGAGGUGAAAUUCGUAGAUAUUCGCAAGAACACCAGUGGCGAAGGCGGCUCACUGGCCCGAUACUGACGCUGAGGCGCGAAAGCUAGGGGAGCAAACGGG